rnacentral:rRNA from 1 species
UUUACUACUUGGCGGCGAGCGGCGGACGGCUGAGUAACGCGUGGGAACAUGCCCCAAAGUGAGGGAUAACUGCCCGAAAGGGUAGCUAAUACCGCAUAUGAUCUUCGGAUUAAAGGAUUUAUCCGCUUUGGGAGUGGCCCGCGUCGGAUUAGGUAGUUGGUGAGGUAAUGGCUCACCAAGCCGACGAUCCGUAGCUGGUCUGAGAGGAUGAUCAGCCAGACUGGGACUGAGACACGGCCCAG